rnacentral:rRNA from 1 species
CCUACGGGAGGCAGCAGUCGAGAAUUAUUCACAAUGGGGGAAACCCUGAUGGUGCGACGCCGCGUGGGGGAAUGAAGGUCUUCGGAUUGUAAACCCCUGUCAUGUGGGAGCAAAUUAAAAAGAUAGUACCACAAGAGGAAGAGACGGCUAACUCUGUGCCAGCAGCCGCGGUAAUACAGAGGUCUCAAGCGUUGUUCGGAAUCACUGGGCGUAAAGCGUGCGUAGGCUGUUUCGUAAGUCGUGUGUGAAAGGCGCGGGCUCAACCCGCGGACGGCACAUGAUACUGCGAGACUAGAGUAAGGGAGGGGGAACCGGAAUUCUCGGUGUAGCAGUGAAAUGCGUAGAUAUCGAGAGGAACACUCGUGGCGAAGGCGGGUUCCUGGACAGUAACUGACGCUGAGGCACGAAGGCCAGGGGAGCGAAAGGGAUUAGAUACCCGUGUAGUC